GGAGAGGGCCAGGGGACCGCGGAGGUGAACCCUCCGAGGAAAGUCCGGACUCCACAGGGCAGGUCACUGGGGAAAUCCCAGCGGGGGCGACCUCGGGAAAGUGCCACAGAGAACAGACCGCCGAUGGCCGUCGGGCACAGGCAAGGGUGAAACGGUGGGGUAAGAGCCCACCAGCGGUCCGGGCGACCGGGCCGGCUCGGCAAACCCUGACCGGAGCAAGGCCAAGUAGGAAGGCGCUUGAGGGCUGCCCGCCCGAGCCUUCGGGUAGGCCGCAACAGAUGAAUGGUCCCCCGCGACAGAAUCCGGCUUACAGGCCCUCUCCCAUU
rnacentral:RNase_P_RNA from 1 species